UCGGAAGCUAAGCAGGAUUGGGCCUGGUUAGUACUUGGAUGGGAGACCUCCUGGCAGUACCAGGUGCUGUAGUCUU
rnacentral:rRNA from 1 species